CGCCAGCAGCCGCGGUAAUACGUAGGGGGCAAGCGUUAUCCGGAUUCAUUGGGCGUAAAGAGCGCGUAGGCGGAUUGUUAAGUCAGAUGUGAAAACCGGGGGCUCAACCCGCGGCCUGCAUCUGAAACUGGCAGUCUUGAGUCUGGUAGAGGAAAGUGGAAUUCCUGGUGUAGCGGUGAAAUGCGCAGAUAUCAGGAGGAACACCAGUGGCGAAGGCGGCUUUCUGGGCCACGACUGACGCUGAGGCGCGAAAGCUAGGGGAGCGAACAGGAUUAGAUACCCUGGUAGUCCUAGCCGUAAACGAUGGGCACUAGGUGUGGGAGGUCAUCGACUCCUUCCGUGCCGAAGCUAACGCAUUAAGUGCCCCGCCUGGGGAGUACGGCCGCAAGGCUAAAACUCAAAGGAAUUGACGGGGGCCCGCACA
rnacentral:rRNA from 1 species